rnacentral:lncRNA from 10 species
GGUCAUUUUAGAACAAGCCACCACAAGCCAGGAAUGCUGCUUAAAAAGCAAGUGGAAGAUGAAUUCUUCCAGGUGAAAUGAAAACAUCAGAGCAAUUUGAAAACAUCAAAGCAGUUUUAAAAUGUCUCUAAAAUGCAUAUAUUUUGGACUUACAAAGAGAUGAAGAAGAAAGCAUAAUUUCUCAUGAGAAAUCAUGAAGCCAGAAGGAAGCAGCACAACGGUCUUCAAGUACUGAACAAAAUGAACUAUCAACUGUAGAAUUCAAUAUUCAGUAAAAUCAUCCUUUAGGAAUGAAAGAGAAAUAAAGUUUUUCUUUAUCCACCAUUAGACAAAGGAAACCAAGAGAAUUUGCCAGUAGCAGAUAUACCCUCACUAGCAGAUAUACCCUAAAUGAAUGGCAAAGGAAGUCCUCUAUAACCAGAAGAAAAAGGAUUGAAAAAAGGAGUCUUAGAACACCAGGAAGAAAAGAAGAAUAAUGGAAAAAGCAAAAAUGGCAAGUUGAGCAGUGAAGUGGCAGCCUGCUGUGUUGGGGUGAUGGCCUCACUUUUGUCAUAUUAAUGUGAGAUACAUAAGCAGAGUCUCACUGUGUCGCCCAGGCUGGAGUGCAACGGCGCGAUCUCAGCGGCUCACUGCAACCUCAGCCUCCUGGUUCAAGCAAUUCUCCUGCCUCAGCCUCCUGAGUAGCUGGGAUUGCAGAUGCGCACCAGUAUUAUCACAAUUUAAAAAAGGGUUUUGUAAAAUAUUAACUCUCAAUCUCCACUAAACCUAAAACAUCUCAUAUACACUCUAAUAUCAAAAAACAAAUGGUUUAACUGUAUUUAAACAGUGGGAAUAAACAUAGAGAGGUCAUUAUGUCAAUAUCAAGUUCACUCUAAUGUGUGAGUAAAUUUUAUGAUUAAGAAGUGUUGUCUAAUUGUUUUCUAAGGCAGUGGGACUCACCUAGCACAGCUGUGAAAAUUCCACAUCUUUUCACACUGAAGUUUAAAUUGAAAAAUAGAGGCCAUGUAAGUUUAUGAAGUAUGGUGAUAAAGUUAUUUCGUGACCGUUUUUUUUAAAUGUCUAUCAAUGGAAAUACUGUAACUGAUGUGGUGGUAAUAUUUAGCUACCAGAAAAAAACCAUGGCUAAGCCUUAUGAAUAUUAUCACUUCUCCCUGUAUAGGCCUGCACUGGAAAAGUCAUUCAUUCAACUACAGUAUUACACCUCUCAUGGUAACCAUUACUGGAGGCUGAUUCUUUACCUCUCCACCUCCUUUAAUCUGUAACAAGAGAGUGAUGGCUACAAUUCCACAGACUUUAAACACUGGUCAGCAUUUAAGUUUUUCUUCUAUCUUUCAGGAGGCACUAAGAACAUAUUUUGCACAAAAAACACUAAUAAGAUUGCAGAAUAAAAGUCUCAAUCAUGCAUAUAUUCUUUCCCCACUUCUUUUACUCUUCUGUUGAGUUAGUGCUUAAAACAAAAUACCGCACCUUUCUCCAUCAAUUUCCUCCAUGAAAUUCAAAGUAUUCAGGUGAGGAUAGGUUAUUUUCACAUCCAGCCUGUGUAUCUCGCUGCAUCAUGAGAAGCUCAGCUGCUGCUGUUGUUUUGUUUUUGUCUGAAGGCAGGAUGUGUUUGAUUCUCUUUUUAAAGUUACUCAAGAGAAAAUGUUGACUGCUGUAAUAAAAAUCUGGAUGAAAUUGUAGUACAAUGUGUUCUGAGACUCAUACUCUAGGAAAUGUAUGCAGAGUACACUGAGAUUAAUAAAUGAAGUGGAAAAAUCUUCUAUAUUAAAAUGUUUUUCUCUUGAAA